CGGGCAGUUCAUCCACGCACCGGAAAAUUGACUAUCUCGAAACUCUUGAUUUCCAUACGGGUGGUGGUGAAUCAUUGAAGAUUAUCAUCAGGUAUACGGGAAAUUUUCCAACGCCGUGACGUAAAAUGUAGUCGACGACAUGACUUCGCAUGAAACCACAAGUAUAGGCCACAAGCCGCUUCACAUUGCUUCAAUAUAUCCAUAACUUCGAUUUGAUACAAGACAAGGUACCGAGAUAAUCGGUCGAGUCGUAAGAUACACACCCCCCAACCCCAUUCUCUCUCUCUCUCUCUCUCUCUCUCUCUCUCUCUCUCUCUCUCUCUCUCUCUCUCUUAACAAACUCGAUCCCUUACCUAAGAUAUCGUCUUUCCCACCUUUAUCCCUACAUUAAGGGGUCGGUUGCCUGAUGCGCCUUCUCCACUGCCAUCUAUCAAAGCCAUCAUCCUCCACCAAACCUCUACAUAUCUUCCUUCACUUUACCUCGCCAUCUAAUCCUCUCUCUGUCUCCCUCUUGAUCAUCUUCCUCGAACAGGUUCCUCGCGAGCCCUCUUCACUCCACCUCGUCGUCCAUCCUCAACACAUGCCCAUACCACCUCAGUCGCGACUCUCUUAACGCCUCUGUCAUCAUUCUUGACUAACCCUGCUGCUCUUCUUCUUAUUUCGUCAUUUUCCAAUCUCUCGUGCAGCAAUAAUCCCAUAAUCUACCUCAGCAUUCUCAUCUCUGUUCUCUAAAGCUUUACCUUCUCUUUUCUUCUUAGAGAGGCCAUGUCUCCAAUCCAUGCAUGAACACUGGUCUUAUCACUGUGCUGUAAGACCAGAGAACUAAGAUAUGUCUCAGUAAAUCGGAAAAUAUCACCUGGGCCAUGAUGGCGAGUUUAUUCUAAUAAUUUCUUAUUAAAUAUUCUUUGUAAUAAAUUAGAAUAUCGAAAUGAAUCAUUACAGUCUUACGAAUUUACGUAUACGAAAAAAACACACGAGAUAUUUUUGGCAAAUUAGAACGCUUAAUUAUUAAAAGUCUUAAAUAGCAAAAGAAUCACCCAGAUAAGGGAUAUUUCAGUCAUUUCAGAUUUAAAUAUUUUUCUAAUCUAACAAAUUCGAGUUUUUUUGAUUAACUGAAGACUUGGCUUGUAUCAAUGCGACUUCAUAGAUGUAUCUGAACGCCUGUAGGAAACAGGAACCAUAGACCAGAAAACAGGAACCGAAAAACAAGGACCAGUUACCAGGAACCGAGAAAUAAGAAUCAGGAACCGAGAAACGAGGACCACGUACCAGGAGUAAAGAACCAGGGAGCAAGGGAUUAGGAACCACGAACCAGGAAACAGGAACCAGAGACCAUGGACCAAGAAACCGGAACCACCAACUAGGGACCGGAAUUCAGGAACCAUUGAUCAUGGACCAAGAAGAUCCAAGGAUCAGGAACCAUGGAACAAGAAUCAUGAACUAAGACCAGGAAACGGGAACCAUGGACCAGGAAUCAGAAACUAAGACCAGGAGACAGGAACCACGAACUAGGGACCAAGAAGCAAAGACCACGAAUUAUGGACUAGGAAACAGGAACAAGUGACCAUGAACCAAGAACCAAUGACUAUGGACCAGGAAUCAGGAACAGUGGACCAAGAACCAGGUAUAGGAUGCUGCUCAACCCUCACUACGUGGCAGGAAUCAGUCAUUAUAAUCGUCUCAUGGGUGACUGGUCACGUCUAAUCCACGACGACAAGUUUAACCUUUCUACACCAAUCAUAAUGUGGUCAAUUACUGCUGAAUGGCUCAUUGCUACAGGGCUGAUGCUGGGUGAAAUAAAUUCGAAGUAUUCUGAUGGUGUAUACACAACUCAAGGGAAUUUCUACAAAUAAGAAAAACUACAAACCUUAAGAAAUUAUUGGAAGAAGAAACUGCCAAAAUUACUGCUGUUGAAAAAGGAACAAGAACACAGUGUAUGACAUUGAAUAACUCUCUUAUGAAGAAAAGAAGUCGGUUGAAAGAUAAUUACUUCAAGAAAUCAUAUAAAUGAACCUACAAGACAGGAUCGCCCAGCUCAAAAGAAAAAAUGACUCGUCAAUAUAAAUGUCAGAAACCCUACUGUCACACAAAGACAUCAUACUCUUAAAGAUUCUGACUAUUAAAACUAUAUUAGUACGGUAAAAUUUAUAGUCACGAUCUAGUGUUGUUUUAUCAGGGUCAAAGCAAUGCCUUUCGACCAGCAAGUUUCAGUUAAUCAGGGUCAUAAUAGUGCCUAUUGGCUAGCAAGUUUUGAGUUAAUCAGGGUCAUAACGGUGCCUAUCGGCCAGCAAGUUUUAGUUAUUCAGGGUCAUAACAGUGCUUAUUGACCCCAAGUCGAGUAGAGCUCAAGCUUUGUUGCUUGUAAUUUUUAAGUAGCAUCUUCAGAAGUCUUUUUCAUAAAGAGGUAGUUCACUGUUGUCCAGGAGAUAUGCUUUAUUACUGAAAACUGCUACUGGUUUAGUAUUCCAGGAUAUAUUUUCCGUUUUGAUUUCUUCUAAAUUUAAUGUACAUUAUCAGGUAGCUUAGCUUUAUUCAGGAUGUAUAGACUUUAUUAAUAGCUAAAGGUCACAUCACCUCGUUCUUAGCUGAUGAGCAUUUACCAAGGAUUUUUAUAAGUUCACGUUCAGCAUGUUUCAAGAUCCGUAGUUGCCUUGCUAAGGUUUCUUAUCACUCUAAUAUCUGCUGUUAGUUCAUUCAUUAUAUGUCACAGUUUAUUUUGUAUUUGAAUUUAUCUAUCAGCUAUUAGGCAGAUCAUUGUUUUAGCAUGUUUAUUGUUACAUUGAAUUCCUUACCAGUUUAGCAAUAGUCAUGUGCAUACAACAGAAAUCGUGGUCCUUUCUACGUAAGAUUCAUAAUCUAAAUUCUACAGCGUAUUUCAAAAUCGUUUUAUUUCAAUUUCUUGCCAAUUUAGAAUGACUUUUAGCUAUCAAUUAUUCUGUAGGUUUCCGGAGACACAGCUUUGUUUUGCCUUGAAUAUAUCAUUAGUUUCUUAUCAACCACAAGUAGCUUCGUGUAUCUGGAUACAUAUACGUAGUUGAUUUAAUUUUCUUAAUCGGUAUGCGCUACCUGGCAUUUUUCAGGAUACAUUUCUAUUUGCAUGAAAUUCAUAGGUUUAAUAUUAGGGAUAAAAGAAAUCAGUUUGUUUCGGAAUACACAAUAUAUUUUAUUUAGAUGUCUUAUAAGUUUGAUACAGAUUUGUCUUGAAAUAUAAAGCCUUCACUUGAAUUUCUAAACAGUGUUAACAUCGGGUGCCAAUUACUGUAGCUUAGUACAUAACACGAUACGUAAUAUUCAAGUACAUAAUAUUCAUUUGCUAUCAGAUAACCGUAAAUUCCAUCAUAGCAUAAUAUCAACUAUCAGUUAGUCAUGGCUACAUUUUCACUAUUUCAUAUCAAAAAUCACGUGUGUUUAAGAAUAACUUGUGCAUCAACUUUCAGUUUUGGUUUGCAGUGUCCAGUAGGUCAUUGUUCAAAAUCCAUACUUGCCCGGAUACGAAGGUCACGCGAGGUUAAUAGCAGGUUAUGUUUUUAUUUUCCGUUCAUUCAUGUAUGAUCAGUAGCACAAAGUUCAUCAGUUAGAAAGAACAGGUUUCGCUGAUUUUACAGAACAUCCUCAUGACAGCAGAUAUUGUUAGGAAUUAUUGUGUGUAGUAGAACCUGUGAGGUAUGCAUCCUUAUAAAUUAGGUAAUAUUUUAUAAUCAAGUACGUAUUUUUCUGUUAUUUAUCUUUAAUAUAAAUAACAGAUAUUCUAAAACUAGUAGCCUUCAUAGUAGGGACAUGGAAUUAAGCUUUUUAUAUGUUCAUCGUGGCUUUAAUCAAUAGCUUGUCACUUUGCUGAUUUAUAUCAAAAGUUCCCUUGGAAUUAGUUUUGCAAUUGUGUUAAGGUCUUGCAUUAUUGCAAUUUUAUCUAACCACUGGUAUGUGUACUUUAAAGCUUAGGUUAUGAGAGGCUUUUUUUAAUAUAGGCGAGAUAUCUCAACCUGAUGCAUUUAAACGUUUGCACCGUUAAGACAGGAGACCAUUUAAAAAUUGUUUAUUACUUUUAUCUAAAACUUUAAGGCAUAAAGAACGUAUUCUUUUGAAGUGAUUAAUCGAAUUUCUGAUUCUUGUAUAGACCAUGCCAUGACAACUAUGCUUCUUGCUUAACAUUAAACAUAUGCCAAUUAGAAGUUAAUACUGUAACCACUGGAGAGUAUCUUAUCAAGAACAUCAUUAUCAUGGCGCAUCUGAAUAUUUCAAGACACUGUUGCAUGUGGUACUGCUUUCAGAGCAGUAUGAUAUUGCUUUCAAAUGUACUGUAGAUGAAUGAUUUGAUAAGUAAACGCAAAUUUCAAGCAUUACUUUAAGGAGAAUUUGAAAUUACGUAUUAACAAUGAUAUAUUAAGACACAUUGAAUGCGUUAUUUGAGCAUAAUUGGGAUUCUUAUGAUAACUCCAUUCUAGGUGAAUGAACAGUAAGCAAACUCGAACUCAAUGAGUUACCUUCAAUAUUGUUAGGCAUUGUUAACUGUGGUCUCUUCGAAUGUGCUCUGCAGUUGCAGUAGAAUGUUUUUGGUAUAUGUACUAAUAAACAUUUAAGAAGCAAUCUCUUUUAUGCGAAGGGUUUAUUCGUCUUAAUGUUAGAUUGAUUGAUAGACUUUUGGGGAAAUUUAAAAUCAAAAUCAUCUUGGGGUCUAAAUAUUUUCAUUGGAACCAUGAAUGUUUUCAAGACCUUUAAUGCGAAAGGCAAAUUCAUUUCUGAGUGGACUUAUCAGGAAUUAGAAUAGUAACUGUUUGGUUAAUUGAUAUCAUUACGUAGGGAUUAUGGUUGCAAGUAGACAUUCUGUAAGAAUGACUCGCAAUGCAGCCAAGUAAACAAGUAACCACAUAAAGUAGAGGGCAUUUCAGGUACCAAAAAAUUUCGAACAGUUGUUAAAAGUGAAAUCUUGCCAGAAGAGUUGUGCCUCAGCUUAGGAACUGAAGCAUUAGGUAUAUCUUUGCUUUCCUUUGGCUUCGACAUAAGUAGUUUGAGAAAUUUGCGUUUAUUAUUUCUGAAUGAUAGGUGUUUGUAGAUUUUGUAAUAACGUACUACAGUGUCUUAACAUAUGGAGAUUUUUUGGGUUAAGGUAUCAAUAUUUUCUUCUGCAAUUCUCAUGGAAUGUAAGUGUUUUGAUCACUUAACUGUUGUU